AUGCUGUUUGUGGCACGCAGCCUUUUUCCAGGCGCCGCCCCUGCCACCGUCUCCACCUUGUACCUGUGCGGCAGCAGCUGGACAGCGCCAGCAUCGCGGCUCCCCAGCUGGGCAGACGAAAGCGCAUGCGCAGGCGGCCUGUCACAAGCGCCAGCGCUGAGCCUGGACUCGCGUCACAGUAACAGCCACCAGUUGCCUGGGGAACGAUCACAGUGGCUUCCCAAAGCAGCGGUCCUCUGUGGCAGUGCCUCAGCAUCGGGCAACGGACUCUUUCUCCGCGCGAUCAUCGCUGAGUCCUGCGAUUUUAGGAAUCCGGCAGGCCGAGCCAGGCAGAAGAAAGAUCUGUCGGGGCUUCAGGGAUGUCCACGGCGCUCCCCAGGAAUCACCAAGUUGCUGCAGACCUGCCCAAACAGUGUGAGGGUGCCUCUCGUUGAAAGCCCUCGUGGCUGGGAUUUCCAGGUGGCAGCCAGACCCCACUACACUGAGGCUUUGAACACCACCAGGAAAAAGAAGAAUGCAGGGCGCCGCAGCCCCAAACUGAGCCAAACGUUGAUCAGCAGCAGAAAGCUGUCACAAAUCCUCCUACGGACCCCAAGAGCACCCUUUGGACCUCGAGACUUCAUCAUGGCCCACUACUGGGUUAGGCCUUGA
rnacentral:lncRNA from 1 species